UGGGGAAUUUUGCGCAAUGGGGGAAACCCUGACGCAGCAACGCCGCGUGGAGGAUGAAGUAUCUUGGUACGUAAACUUCUUUCGAUCGGGACGAUAAUGACGGUACCGAUAGAAGAAGCCCCGGCUAACUUCGUGCCAGCAGCCGCGGUAAUACGAGGGGGGCAAGCGUUGUUCGGAAUUAUUGGGCGUAAAGGGUGCGUAGGCGGCCCCGCAAGUCUUGUGUGAAAUCCUCAGGCUCAACAUGAGGACUGCACGGGAAACUGCUGGGCUGGAGUGUGGGAGAGGUGAGUGGAAUUCCUGGUGUAGCGGUGAAAUGCGUAGAUAUCAGGAGGAACACCUGUGGCGAAAGCGGCUCACUGGACCACAACUGACGCUGAGGCACGAAAGCUAGGGGAGCAAA
rnacentral:rRNA from 1 species